AAGUCGUAACAAGGUCUCCGUUGGUGAACCAGCGGAGGGAUCAUUACCGAGUUUUUACAACUCCCAACCCUAUGUGAACCUUACCAAUCGUUGCUUCGGCGGAACGCCCCGCGGCCCCUAGGGGUCCGGACCCAGGCGCCCGCCGAGGAACCCAAACUCUUCUGUUUUUUAGUUGUAUCUUCUGAGUGGAUUUAACAAAUGAAUCAAAACUUUCAACAACGGAUCUCUUGGUUCUG
rnacentral:misc_RNA from 1 species